rnacentral:rRNA from 1 species
ACAGCGACACAUGAAAGUCGAAUGCUAGCACAGGAUGGGAGCUUCCUCUUUGAGUGGGCAGGGGCGCAUGGUUGAGGAAUACAUCAGAAUCUACUUUUUCGUGGGGGAUAACGUAGGGAAACUUACGCUAAUACCGCAUACGACCUACCGGUGAAAGCACGGGAUCUUCGGACCUUGCGCGAUUGAAUGAGCCGAUCUCGGAUUAGCUAUUUGGCGGGGUAAAGGCCCACCAAGGCGACGAUCCGUAGCUGGUCUGAGAGGAUGAUCAGCCACACUGGAACUGAGACACGGUCCAGACUCCUCCGGGAGGCAGCAGUGGGGAAUAUUGGACAAUGGGCGCAAGCCUGAUCCAGCCAUACCGCGUGGGUGAAGAAGGCCUUCGGGUUGUAAAGCCCUUUUGUUGGGAAAGAAAUCCAGCUGGCUAAUACCCGGUUGGGAUGACGGUACCCAAAGAAUAAGCACCGGCUAACUUCGUGCCAGCAGCCGCGGUAAUAACCAAGGAUGUUUACCCGCUACUCGGAAUUACUGGGCGUAAAGCGUGAGUAGGUGGUCGUCUAAGCUCCGUUGUGAAAGCCCUGGGCUCAACAUGGGAACUGCAGUGGAUACUGCGCGACUAGAAUGUGGUAGAUGGGUAGCGGAAUACCUGGUGUAGCAGUGAAAUGCGUAGAGAUCAGGAGGAACAUCCAUGGCGAAGGCAGCUACCUGGACCAACACUGACACUGAGGCACGAAAGCGUGGGGAGCAAACAGGAUUAGAUACCCUCGUAGUCCACGCCCUAAACGAUGCGAAACUGGAUGUUGGGUGCAAUAUCGCACACAGUAUCGCAAGCUAACGCGUUAACUUCGCCGCCUGGGGAGUACGGUCGCAAGACUGAAACUCAAAGGAAUUGACGGGGUCCCGCACAAGCGGUGGAGUAUGUGGUUUAAUUCGAGGCAACGAGAAGAACCUUACCUGGCCCUGACAUGUCGAGAACUCUUCCAGAGAUGGAUUGGUGCCUUAGGGAACUCAAACACAGGUGCUGCAUGGCCGUCGUCAGCUCGUGUCGUGAGAUGUCGUGUUAAGUCCCGCAACGGGCGUAACCCUCUUCAGUAGGUGGCAGGACGUAACGGUGGGAAUUCCAAGGAGACGGCCGGUGACAAACCGGAGGAAGGUGGGGACGACGUCAAGUCAUCAUUGCCCUUGGGGCCAGGGGUACACACGUAGUACAAUGGUAGGGACAGAGGGCUGCAGGCCGGCGACGGUAAGCCAAUCCCAGAAACCGUAUCUCAGUCCGGAUUGGAGUCUGCAAGUCGAUUCCAUGAAGUCGGAAUUGCUAGUAAUUGCAGAUCAGCAUUGUUACGGUGAAUACGUUCCCGGGCCUUGUACACACCGCCCGUCACACCAUGGGAGUUUGUUGCACCAGAAGCAGGUAGCUCAACCUUCGGGAGGGCGUGGCCAGGCUCAGCAUGCGGCUG